GACGAACGCUGGCGGCGUGCCUAAUACAUGCAAGUCGAACGAGAGCGCCCGGUGCUUGCACUGGUCAAUCUAGUGGCGAACGGGUGAGUAACACGUGGGUAACCUGCUCAUCAGAGGGGGAUAACAUCCGGAAACGGAUGCUAAAACCGCAUAGGUCUUCGAGCCGCAUGGCUUGAAGAGGAAAAGAGGCGCAAGCUUCUGCUGAUGGAUGGACCCGCGGUGCAUUAGCUAGUUGGUGAGGCAACGGCUCACCAAGGCCGUGAUGCAUAGCCGACCUGAGAGGGUGAUCGGCCACAUUGGGACUGAGACACGGCCCAAACUCCUACGGGAGGCAGCAGUAGGGAAUCUUCCGCAAUGGACGCAAGUCUGACGGAGCAACGCCGCGUGAGUGAAGAAGGUUUUCGGAUCGUAAAACUCUGUUGUUAGAGAAGAACAAGUGCUAGAGUAACUGUUAGCGCCUUGACGGUAUCUAACCAGAAAGCCACGGCUAACUACGUG
rnacentral:rRNA from 1 species